rnacentral:rRNA from 1 species
GACGAACGCUGGCGGCGUGCCUAAUACAUGCAAGUUGAGCGCUGAAGGUUGGUACUUGUACCAACUGGAUGAGCAGCGAACGGGUGAGUAACGCGUGGGGAAUCUGCCUUUGAGCGGGGGACAACAUUUGGAAACGAAUGCUAAUACCGCAUAAAAACUUUAAACACACGUUUUAAGUUUGAAAGAUGCAAUUGCAUCACUCAAAGAUGAUCCCGCGUUGUAUUAGCUAGUUGGUGAGGUAAAGGCUCACAAAGGCGAUGAUACAUAGCCGACCUGAGAGGGUGAGCGGCCACAUUGGGACUGAGACACGGCCCAAACUCCUACGGGAGGCAGCAGUAGGGAAUCUUCGGCAAUGGACGAAAGUAUGACCGAGCAACGCCGCGUGAGUGAAGAAGGUUUUCGGAUCGUAAAACUCUGUUGGUAGAGAAGAACGUUGGUGGGAGUGGAAAGCGCAUCAAGUGACGGUAACUACCCAGAAAGGGACGGCUAACUACGUG